AGAACUCCUUUCUGUUCUAAUAAAGAAGAAUAUAUGUUUUUUGGUAUCACGGCUGUUGUUGAAGAAGAAGACAUCCAUGAAGGUUUUUGGUUGUAUAUCAAAAUAAGAAUAAAUGGCUCCUAGAUCUAGAGUUCCACCCUUUUGUUGUGUUUCUAGGUCUUUUGUUCUAAAGAAGAAGAAGAGCAGCGACUGAUAUCUUAGGGACCUAAGGGUCUUUAGGUUAGCUGUUGUAUU
rnacentral:lncRNA from 1 species